rnacentral:rRNA from 1 species
UACAGAGGUGCCAAGCGUUAGGCGGAAUCACUGGGCUUAAAGCUCGCGUAGGCGGAUGUUUAAGUGUCUUGUGAAAUCCCACGGCUCAACCGUGGAACUGCUGGGCAUACUGGACAUCUCGAGGCACUCAGGGGCGAGCGGAACAAGUGGUGGAGCGGUGAAAUGCGUAGAUAUCACUUGGAACGCCAAUGGUGGAAACAGGUAGCUGGGGAUGUGCCGACGCUGAGACACGAAAGCCAGGGGAGCGAACGGG